CGGUGAUUAGUGGCGAACGGGUGAGUAACACGUGGGUAAUCUGCCCUGCACUCUGGGAUAAGCCUGGGAAACUGGGUCUAAUACCGGAUAUACACUGGUGGUCGCAUGGCCUGCUGGUGGAAAGCCUUGUGCGGUGUGGGAUGGGCCCGCGGCCUAUCAGCUUGUUGGUGGGGUGAUGGCCUACCAAGGCGACGACGGGUAGCCGGCCUGAGAGGGUGACCGGCCACACUGGGACUGAGACACGGCCCAGACUCCUACGGGAGGCAGCAGUGGGGAAUAUUGCACAAUGGGCGGAAGCCUGAUGCAGCGACGCCGCGUGAGGGAUGACGGCCUUCGGGUUGUAAACCUCUUUCAGCAGGGAAGAAGCGCAAGUGACGGUACCUGCAGAAGAAGCACCGGCUAACUACGUGCCAGCAGCCGCGGUAAUACGUAGGGUGCAAGCGUUGUCCGGAAUUAUUGGGCGUAAAGAGCUCGUAGGCGGCUUGUCGCGUCGGUUGUGAAAGCCCGGGGCUUAACCCCGGGUCUGCAGUCGAUACGGGCAGGCUAGAGUUCGGUAGGGGAGACUGGAAUUCCUGGUGUAGCGGUGAAAUGCGCAGAUAUCAGGAGGAACACCGGUGGCGAAGGCGGGUCUCUGGGCCGAUACUGACGCUGAGGAGCGAAAGCGUGGGGAGCGAACAGGAUUAGAUACCCUGGUAGUCCACGCUGUAAACGGUGGGAACUAGGUGUGGGCGACAUUCCACGUUGUCUGUGC
rnacentral:rRNA from 1 species